GCACAUAAGACUGGGUUAAUAUGUACACAAAGCCACCAUCUUUUCUCCUCUAAUUUCUAAGUAGGUCUUGGCUUGGCUUCCAUAGAGAAGAAUAUUAGAAUGGUUCAGGUUUAUGAGGAAUACGAUUCCCAAGGAGAAGAGGAAGAAGAUGGUCUGAAUAGGAAGAUGGUGUUGGUCUCAAAGAGCCUAAUGGUUCAGAUCAAAUAUCGAAUCGAUGAUUUACCAGAGAGGCUACUCCAAAACAAAUUAGGGAGGCCAUGCAGGUUGAUUUAGCUCCCUGGUCAAGAGUCAUCUGCAGCUUGCUAGUUUCUUCUUUCGCCACUGCUGUGCUGGACACAUACAAGAUGAGGCCCUUGAAGAACCGUGACCGAUAAGGGUAUCCUGAACAAGCUAAUGGUUGAGGUGCAAAGUGUUCGUUGUCGUGUCCCUCCUAAGUGCAGGACUUACGGGUUUCGCAACAACUAAGUAAUGCAUGUGGUGUAUUUUUUACAUGUUAUAUUAAUUGUGCAUCCAUUGUAUGAUGAUGACAUGGUUAGCAUCGGUAUAAAUGAAUGUAUGCUUGGCUUUCCAAUUCCAAUGCUAUGCAUCAUGGUGUUUGGAGGGAUGGUGUGCAAGUGGUGUAUCCUAGUGGAUAAGGGCUCGGAUUUUGGGUAUAAAACUCUUGAGUGUUUAUUCUUGUACUUGUAUUUUCCCUGGUAUAAAGAAUUUGGUAACACCGUGGACGUAGGCAGGUGUUUUGCCCAACCACA